GCGUUCGCAAUGCUUAGAACAAAAAACCUUUUGCCCGUUAUUUCCCGCUAUCAUAUGCUUUUGAAAUAUCCUCCACACCACCGAUACAAACAACAACAAAAAGAAAUAAUAACUGAAAAACUAGUCUUCCUGUUAAAUCAAUCUGUAUCUCUCAAACAACUUCAAGAAAUACACACUCAAAUGCUAGUAAACUCGAUCCCAAAACCCAAUUUUAUCCUAUGCAAGAUCAUUGAACUCAAAGACUUCACUUAUGCCUCCCUCUUCUUCUCACAUAUCCCUGUACCUAAUGAAUAUGCAUUCAGUUUCAUGAUCCGUGGCCUAGCUAAGACUUGGCAAAACUACUCUCUCGCGCUCCAAUUUUAUUACCAGAUGAGGUUCUCUGGCCUGAAACCCAACAAUUUCACUUUCCCUUUUUUGUUCGUUGCGUGUACUAAUCUCUUGGCGGUGAAUCAUGGCCGAUCAGGACAUUCUUUGGUGUUUAAGUUUGGGUGGGACGGUAAUGAUCAUGUCAGCAACUCAUUGAUUACUAUGUAUGCAAGGUUUAAUGAACUGGAUUAUGCCCGGAAGGUGUUCGAUGAAAUUCGUGAGAGAGAUUUAGUGUCGUGGAACUCGAUGAUUUCGGGGUACUUGAAGAUUGGGUAUGCUGCAGAGGCCAUCGAGUGUUUUGAAAGGAUGAGGGAGGAUGGGUUUGAGCCUGAUGAGAUGACUUUGGUCAGCGUUCUUAGGGCAUGCGGAGACUUGGGUAAUCUGAUUCUGGGGAGUUGGAUAGAGGAGUUUUUCAUGAGUAACAAGAUGGAGCUGAACUCAUAUAUGGGCUCUGCUCUGAUUGGAAUGUAUGGAAAAUGUGGGGAUUUGUUAUCAGCGAGGAGGGUCUUUGAUAAGAUGCCCAAGAAGGAUGUGGUCAUCUGGAAUGCCAUGAUUACAGGGUAUGCGCAGAAUGGAUCAUCAACAGAAGCAAUAGUGGUAUUCAAUGGCAUGAGAGAGGUCGGCAUUGAUCCAGAUAAAAUCACAUUGGCAGAAGCACUCUCUGCUUGUGCCUCAUUUGGGGCCCUUGAUUUAGGAAAACGGAUUGAGACAUAUGCCUUCCAAAGAGGCUUACAACAUGAUAUUUAUGUUGCCACAGCAUUAAUUGAUAUGUAUGCGAAGUGUGGGAGCUUAGACAAUGCACGAAGAGUUUUCAAAGAAAUGCCCCAAAAAAAUGAGGUCUCAUGGAAUGCCAUGAUCUCUGCUCUUGCUUUUCAUGGGCGAGCUCAGGAGGCUUUGUUGCUUUUCAAGUGUAUGUCUGAGGCUGGAGAGACUGCUCAUCCGAACGACAUCACAUUUGUUGGAUUGCUCUCUGCGUGUGUCCAUGCUGGAUUGGUUGAUGAGGGACGCCAAAUUUUUCAUGUGAUGAGCUCUUCAUUCGGGUUGAUCCCAAAAAUUGAGCAUUACUCUUGCAUGGUUGAUCUUAUGGCACGUGCAGGACACAUAUAUGAAGCUUGGGAUUUCGUUGCUGAGAUGCCUGGAAAACCAGAUGAAGUGGUGUUGGGGAUAUUGCUUUGUGCCUGUCAGAAGCGCAGAAAUGUGGAUGUUGGUGAGUGGGUGAUGCAAUUGCUUCUGGAUAUGGAGCCCUCAAAUUCUGGAAAUUAUAUCAUCUCAUCAAAGAUUUAUGCAAACGUGAAAAAUUGGGAUGAGUCUGCGAAGAUGAGGGUAUUGAUGAGGGAAAAGGGAGUUUCUAAGACUCCUGGCUGUAGCUGGAUUGAGAUUGAUGCUCAACUUUAUGAAUUCCAUGCUGGUAGUAAUCUAGAUACUCAACCAAGAGAGAUGCUUGAAGUGUUUGGUUUACUAAAUGAGGAGAUGAAGAUCGAAGGUUACACUCCAAAAGUUGAUUAUUUAUAGAGAUGCAAAUAGAGAAACUUACUGAAGUCUGAUUCUUAGAAAAUGUUGGACAAGUCUGUGAAGAUGAGUGUAUUGACGAGGGGAAAGGGAGUUUCUAAGACUCUUGGCUGUAGGGGGAUUGAGAUUGAUGCUCAACUUUAUGAAUUCCAUGCUGGUAGUAGUUUAGAUACUCAAACAAGAGAGAUACUUGAAGUGUUUGGUUUACAAAAUGAGGAGAUGAAGAGCCGAGAGCGAAGGUUAGACUCCAUUCGUUGAUUGUUUAUAGAGAUGCAAAUAGAGAAACUUACUGCACGUCUGAUUCUUAGAAAAAGUGGGACGAGUCUGCGAAGAUGAGGGUAUUGAUGAGGGAAGAGGAGUUUCUAAGACUCCUGGCUGUAGCUGACUUGAGAUCGAUGUUCAACUUUAUGAAUUCCAUGCUGGUAUUAAUUUAGAUACUCGAACAAGAGAGAUGCUUGAAGUGUUUGGUUUACUAAAUGGGGAAAUGAAGAGCGAAGGUUACAGACGAAACUUUGAUUAUUUAUAGAUAUGCAAAUUGAGAAACUUACUGCACAUCUGAUUCUUAUUGGCCUUUAAUGAUCUUGAAUUUAUUGCGUUACCAGGUAUGAAAGUGUACAUAUCUGGAAGAGUAAACUCGAAGGAAGAAAUGGAUUAUAUUGGUCCAGAACUCCAGACUCCAGACUCCAGAGAGGGGGACAAGAAGCAAGACUCCACCAGUGUAUUACACGAUACCAUAGUGAGGAUGGUCCCGCUCAUUGGCAAAACAAAUGUGUUGCUGUCUCUCAAAAAUAGUUUUCUUCUGUGAAAUCAAGUUUUGCCAAUAUUUGAAUGUUGUUUUAAAAGAAUUGUUCUGACAGUAGUGACAAUAUUUGCCUAUAAAGUGUUUAAUUUAUUAGUGAGAAAUUAAUUAUAACCCUAAACUAGGAUUAGUUACAAUCAGGAAUAUGAAAACCGACUACUACUGGGAUUAUAACAACUCCACUGAAGUUUUUCUCACUAUAAAUACCUAUCGCUAAGGCUUAAUUCUUCUCAUACAAACUUGUUCAAUUGUUUCAAUCACCCGAUCAUUGCAUACACACGCUUUUGACUUUUCUGAUUCCAUGGCCAACAACAAGACAACGUUUCUUCUCCUUUUCUUCUUCUUCUUCUUGCUUUCAACAAUACUGCUCCCUGCGAAAGCCAGCCAAGAAGACUCCAACAUGCAGCCCACACAAUAUGGCAGUAGUGGAGUAAAUAUCUCUGGAAUUGUGAGUGCCCUUGCUCAUAAGGCUCAUUACGAGUUCGCAUCACAGACUCUGGAGGCCACUCUAAGUAGUCUAAUAGGAAAGAAAAACUCAAGUUUUACCAUAUUUUGCCCAAAAGACAGUGCCUACGCAAGUUUGAGGUACGCACCGCCUCCGCCGACGCUUGUUGCAUACCAUAUUACCCCCAAUAAUCUUCAAAGAGAGGAUUUGGAGUUAAGAAGCGACACUCUUCGAAUGUAUUCAAGGAUCGAUACACUUCUUCCAGGACAUCCUCUUGUGGUGACUACUCAAUUACCGAAGGCUAAUUCGGAUCCCAACUCCUAGGCUCAACUCAACCUUGUCAACAUAAUUGAUUGGAACAUCUACGAUGAUGGACGCGUCAUUGUUCAUGGAAUUGAUGGCUUUUUCGAUCCCUCUGUUCAAGCAAUUCUAUUUCCAUGGCUAGAACAUGAUGAAACCAUCAAGCGUGAAGAGGAGGGUUCUUUCAAUAUUGCACACCAUCCACUGGGUUUUCUAGCCAUAUUUGUUCUUUGUGUCUUCGCCGUCUCUGAACUCUUCUUUUGGGCAUAUCUAUGUGGUUAUGGUCGUCGUGAAAUCACCACAAAAUAGAUGUGUCAGUCAGUCUAAAACUCUAGGAUUGAAGCAUUAUUAUUUAUUAGAUAAUCUAGAUGUUUGAAUUCCAUGGGAAAGUUGUAAUAUCUUUAUUGUAAGGCUUGAAAGGAAUUCGACUCCAAAAUUGUAUA